GCCUGAGUAGCUCAGUCGGUUAAGCGUCCGACUUCGGCUCAGGUCAUGAUCUCAUGGUUCGUGGGUUCAAGCCCCGCGUUGGGCU
rnacentral:tRNA from 1 species